CGGCAUAGCUCAGCUGGUAGAGCAACUGACUUGUAAUCAGUAGGUCGGGAGUUCGACUCUCUCUGCCGG
rnacentral:tRNA from 2 species